GGAGUCUGGACCGUGUCUCAGUUCCAGUGUGGGGGACCUUCCUCUCAGAACCCCUAGACAUCGUCGCCUCGGUGUGCCGUUACCACGCCGACUAGCUAAUGUCUCGCGAACUCAUCCGUAUCCGACGAAUCUUUCAAACAUGGGUCAUGCGGCCCUCGUUGUUAUGGGAUAUUAGACGACGUUUCCAUCGCUUAUGCCCCGGAUACGGGCAGAUUGUUCACGCGUUACGCACCCUUCCGCCGGUCGCCGGCAUUGUAUUGCUACAACCCGCUGCCCCUCGACUUGCAUGUGUUAAGCCUGCCGCUAGCGUUCAUC
rnacentral:rRNA from 1 species